rnacentral:lncRNA from 1 species
GUGGGGUGAGUUGCAGCAGCGGCAGCUGCACAUGUGGGUUUGUUUAUAAGAACAAGGUGUCCUAGAACCCAGGCAUCGCUUGAGCACGCCCCUUCUCUACCCCUUCCUCCUGGUCUCCCAUCCCGGAAGCUGAGUGUCCUGUCCUGUUCUGGGUGCCGGCGAUGGAACCCGGGCCUCUUGCAUGCUGGCCACACGCUGGACCCUGAGCUGAGCUGCACCCCAGCCCUGGGCGGGUGUCUUGAGAACGCAGCACCCGGAGUCGGAAGAGCAGGGGUGCUACUUGGCCCUCAGAGGAUAUAAAGAUGGAGAUGAAGACUUGGUGCCCAGAAGGGAGCAGAGAAGAGAGGUCAGGUUCCAUCCUAGGGGCUGCACUGGGUG